rnacentral:rRNA from 1 species
AUUGAACGCUGGCGGCAUGCUUUACACAUGCAAGUCGAACGGCAGCGCGGGCUUCGGCCUGGCGGCGAGUGGCGAACGGGUGAGUAAUGCAUCGGAACGUGCCCAGUAGUGGGGGAUAGCCCGGGGAAAGCCGGAUUAAUACCCCAAACGACCUAAGGGGCAAAUGGGGGGACGGAAGGGCUCGGCGCUGUUGGGCGGUCGGAUGUCGGAUUAGCUAGUUGGUGGGGUAAAGGCUUACCAAGGCGCCGAUCCGUAGCUGGUCUGAGAGGACGACCAGCCACACUGGGACUGAGACACGGCCCAGACUCCUACGGGAGGCAGCAGUGGGGAAUUUUGGACAAUGGGGGCAACCCUGAUCCAGCCAUGCCGCGUGCGGGAAGAAGGCCUUCGGGUUGUAAACCGCUUUUGUUCGGGAAGAAAUCCUCUGGGCUAAUACCCCGGGGGGAUGACGGUACCGGAAGAAUAAGCACCGGCUAACUACGUG